rnacentral:rRNA from 1 species
UACAGAGGGUGCAAGCGUUAAUCGGAAUUACUGGGCGUAAAGCGUGCGUAGACGGUAGCGUAAGUCGGGUGUGAAAGCCCCGGGCUCAACCUGGGAAUUGCAUUCGAGACUGCUCUGCUAGGGUGCGGAAGAGGGAAGCGGAAUUUCCGGUGUAGCGGUGAAAAUGCGUAGAUAUCGGAAGGAACACCAGUGGCGAAAGCGGCUUCCUGGUCCAGCACCGACGUUCAGGCACGAAAGCGUGGGGAGCAAACAGG